GAUGAACGCUGGCGGCGUGCCUAAUACAUGCAAGUCGAGCGAACACACGAUGAGCUUGCUCCUCUGACGUUGGCGGCGGACGGGUGAGUAACACGUACAUAACCUACCUAUAAGACUGGGAGAACUUCGUGAAACCGGAUCUAAUACCGGAUCAUAUGUUGAACGGCAUGGUUCAAUAGUGAAAGACGGUUUUGCUGUCACUUUUAGAUGGUUCCGCGCCGCAUUAGUUACGUGGUAAGGUAACGGCUUACCAAGGCAACGAUGCGUAGCCGAUCUGAGAGGGUGAUCGGCCACACUGGAACUGAGACACGGUCCAGACUCCUACGGGAGGCAGCAGUAGGGAAUAUUGCGCAAUGGGCGCAAGCUUGAAGCAGCAACGCCGCGUGAGUGAUGAAGGUCUUCGGAUCGUAAAACCCUGUUAUUGGGGAAGAAAAAAUGUGUAUGUAACUAUGCACGUUUUGACGGUACCCAAACAGAAAGCAACGGCUAACUUCGUG
rnacentral:rRNA from 1 species